GCUCUCCCUCCCGCUGCUGCCGGGACAGAUUUGGGAAGCGAGUGCAGCUCCCUGACCUCCGACCUUUUCCUGGACGAGGAGUCGGAGACCAGCAGCGGGAGGAGCUGCGUCUGGAGUUUCUGACAACAUUUCUGUUUAAAAAAAAAAAAGCAAAAACUGUGUUUCGGAUCUGAACGCUGAGGCUCCACUGACCUCCAUGUUCACAGCUGGAUGUCAUGCAUUUCAGAAAACUCUUUUAAAAAAAAAACAUUUUUUAAAAUCUCAUUUUGCUCAUUUUCAUGUUGAUGCCAAAGUUUUGUACGUCCGUUCUACAAGCCGUUAAUCACCUAAAACAAAGUACAUUUCGAAACGUCGAUGUGUUUUGACUCUUUUCCAUCAAGACUGACUAAAUCUUACAAAAAUCAUGUAAAAUUCACAUGUUGCUCGUUUUAAUGCUUCCAUUUGAGUCUCAACAAUUUCUAGAAACAGUUUUAAGCGCUUAAAAAAAAAUGAGCCAGGAGUUUUGUGGUAAUAAGUUCAUUUCUUUUGGUGUCUAGAAAAUGAGCAGUUUCAAAAUUCUCUGGAAUAUUGAGUUACGUUUGACGGGCAUUUCACUGUUACCUAGCAACCCCAGCUGAGUUACGCCCGUUACCUAGCAACCCAAAUGGAGCUCCAGCUGGUUUUAGCUCCAUACAAUGGCUGCUGGAAAAGACAAAGUGUUUGGUUGUUGACUUGCCAUCCAGAAACCACUUGAUGCAUUUUAGUUGGUUGUGCAGGAGGCUCUAGUUCUGCUUUUCAAAGAUGGAACUGUUGUAUAAUUUAGCUGUUAUUUUCACAUGUGAGUGUAUAAACGUGGAGUUGGGGGCGUGGCCAGCAGCAGCUUAUUUGGAUUUAAAGAGACAAAGACGUCCUAAAGCAGCUAAAGUCUCAUCUAAGAAUGAUUUUGUUCAGAAAAUGUAAAGAACAUAUUUUGUUUUAUCCAUAGAUCUGUCCCAACCUGUUCAAGGAAGCCGACUGGGUCACUGAGAAAGUCAAACUUUCUCCAACUGGUCUGUGUUUUUUAAAUGGAAACUUCAUUUAUUUACCUGAACCUGAAGGAAAAUUUAACCAAAUUUACAUUUUUUAUGCUGAAAUCUCUCCCAAAAUAAUAUUUUUGUUACACAAAUAAGACUUAGUGCUGAAUUAUGCUUAAAAGAUUUAUGAAUAAUUUUUUUAAACUACGCAUGUUAAUUUCCUGACACAUCUAACGGCUAAAAACAGUUUAAAGGCUUCAUUAGAGAUGAGCAGUGCCAUCUGGUGGCCACAUUAGACACUGCAGCUUUAACAAACUGGAUCCAGGUCUGGAAAACUUUCCCAAAAUACUGAAGUUUCUCCCUGAUGCAUGAAAUCUUUUUGUUUUAAUCUGCAAUAAUUAAAAAUUACAGCAAUAAGAAAGAUGAAUUGAGGCAAUGUUUAAAUAAGUAAUGAGUAGCUAUUUAGAUAUUUCUAGAUCCCUCAUGAACAAACGGGGUUCAGUUCUGCCUGUGCAGCUUGGCGGUCAGUGGAGUCCAGCCUCAGCCUGAGACCAUCAGAGACUGAAACCGUCUCCAGCUCUCAUCACUGGGAGCUUCAUCCGGUCUGAAAGGCUCCACCCACAGACGGCCAUGUUCCAAUCCCUGAUGAUUGCGGUCGCAGCGAGUCAUGGUUUCCACCGGCAACAAAAUCAAUGCAAAAGCCACAAAGUUAUUCAAAUAUUAACAAAAACCACAAAGUUACUAAAAUGUUCAUGAGUCACAUCGGUCAGCCAUAACGGGCUGAAAGUUUUGUGAUGGUUCUGGUUGAGAUGCAUCUAAACUUCCUCAGACUUGGUGAAUUGUUUGUGGACGUCGUGGCUCAGCUGUGAACUUCAUCGUUAAUAAUCGGAGCGUAAACCGUCCAGCCCUGCAGCAGCCAACGGCCUUCGACGGCCUUCCCGGUCGACGGCCUUCCCGGUCGACGGCCUUCCCGGUCGACGGCCUUCCCGGUCGACGGCCUUCCCUUCCUGAAAACCUGCCAAAGACUUGCUAAACCUUUUUACUGGAUGCUUCUUUGGAGUCGGGUUUGGGCUGCGGAUGAUUUAAAGGGGCGGAGCUUCCUUCUUAUUUUCUAAAUUUUGUCGUUUUGUUGUAAAUAAAAAGUAAAACCGAAUGUCAUGCGAAAAAUACAAAUGUACAAAUAUAUAAAUGGCCUUUUUCUCCCCCCCGGUCCCCCCUCCCCCACUGGUGCUGAAUUUUUAAUGACUGCGAAGCAGCGCCACCUUGUGGUGACGCCUUUCAUCAGAAAAACCCCAAACUUUGUGUUGUCUUCAUCACCUCAUGACGUCCUUCCAUCCCCGAUGGAGGGAGGCGUGUCCUUGUGAGCGGAGGAGCCAGGGGCAUGCUGGGAAAUGCAGUAUCUCAAACGGCGGCACUGUGACGGAGGACGGGCGAAAACGUUUUGAAAACGAACGUUUCCUUUCUGCCAUGUAGUUUUGAAACCCAGGAGAUUAUUCAUAUAUGAUGUAAAGUCUGAUGUUUGUCGUCGUUUUAUUUCCUGCCUGAAUCACGAUGCAUUCUGGUCGCUGUAGUCCUGUGAGUUCUGGUUCUGUUGCUGGUUCUGGUUCAGUGGGUUCUUUCGCCAUGUUGACGUUGAUUUCUGUGUGAAUGAAUUUAGUUUUUUUGUGGCACUAAACGUAAAAGAAGAGAAAUAGUUACAGAAAAUAAAGCUAAGUGUAUUCAAGAAGGAAAUGUUUUUCUACAUCAAAGUGUCUCCAUAUUCUAUUCUUUCAAAGACAAAAAAAAAAAAAUCAGUUUUUUUAUAUUUUCUUAUUGGAUGCUUAUAAAGUCCUGUUGUAAAGUUAAAGCAUUUAUCUGAUUGGCUCCAGAGAGGUCAGAGGUCACAGGCCUCCUUUCGUUAGCCUGCGCUGCAUGAGCAGGAGAAAUAAAUUAUAUUUCAGAGAGAAAAUGUUACGAUAUGAACCUGUGUUUGAUAAAAAGUCACUGCUAAUAAAAAGAUUUAAGUUCCA